UGGCUCCCCACCCGCUUCAUUAUUUCCUYGAGCGAAGCUUUUUSCUUGCGGGUGCGUACGGUAUCCUGUGUUGCUUACCCAYGAGAUGGAAUUCGAUGGCUUUGCUGUGUCGAUUCGCCGUGCGCCCUUUGGGGUGCGGGGUGGAUGCGAGGCGGGCUCUGUGUUCCCAGCGUGCCGAGCGCAUUGUCGCCUGUCCGCYGUGGCCCAUGGAGUGUCCGCUUGUCCUCUCGGAUACGGAACGCUACGCGUGGGCGUGAGGUCUUGGCCUCGAUUCGCCCAGGCAAUGUCCCUUGACUCGAACGACUGCCCGCGCCUGUCUUGAACUUCCCGACCAAGGCCUCGUAAYGGGGYUUACUGGACGAGGGUCGCUCAUGCCGGCGUCGGCGUCGAAGAGGAAUGC
rnacentral:misc_RNA from 1 species